AGUGAACGCUGGCGGUAGGCCUAACACAUGCAAGUCGAACGGCAGCACAGUAAGAGCUUGCUCUUACGGGUGGCGAGUGGCGGACGGGUGGGGAAUACAUCGGAAUCUACUUUUUCGUGGGGGGUAACGUAGGGAAACUUACGCUAAUACCGCAUACGACCUACGGGUGAAAGCAGGGGAUCUUCGCACCUUGCGCGCUUGAAUGUGCCGAUGUCGGAUUAGCGCGUUGGCGGGGUAAAGGCCCACCACGGGGACGCUCCGUAGCGGGUCUGAGAGGAGGACCAGCACCACUGGAACUGGGACACGGUCAAGACUCCUACGGGAGGAGCCGGUGGGGAAUAUUGGACAAUGGGCGCAAGCCUGAUCCAGCAAUACCGCGGGGGGGAAGAAGGCCUUCGGGUGGUAAAGCCCGUUUGUUGGGAAAGAAAAGCAGCAGGUUAAUACCCCGCUGUUCUGACGGUACCCAAAGAAUAAGCACCGGCUAACUUCGUG
rnacentral:rRNA from 1 species